rnacentral:RNase_P_RNA from 1 species
UGGGUCGACUGGACGGUCGCGUGGCGGGCAACCGCACCGAGGAACGUCCGGGCUCCACAGGGCAGGGCGGUGGGUAACACCCACCCGGAGUGAUCCGCGAGACAGUGCCACAGAGAGCAGACCGCCCCCGGUUCGCCGGGGGUAAGGGUGAAAGGGUGGUGUAAGAGACCACCGGGGGACAUGGUGACAUGUCCCGCCAGGUAAACCUCGCCCGGAGCAAGGUCAGACAGAGGAUGUUGACGCGGCUCGCCGAGUCCUCGGGUAGACCGCUGGAGCGGCACGGCAACGUGUCGCCGAGAGAGAUGGCCGUCGAAGGGGCGAAGAACCCCGGAACAGAACCCGGCGUACAGGUCGGCCCAUUCG